ensembl:lncRNA LINC01287 long intergenic non-protein coding RNA 1287
GCGCGACUUCCCUGGCCCUCCCCCUGCGGACCAGUGAACCUCGCCCGAGGGCUCAAUAAAGAAGAUUUUUGCCCUCUUUUUCUCACCUCUCAGCCUUAUUGAUCCAUGGUGCCCUUCCAUUGCCUUUCAUUGGUGCCGAAACCCGGGAGGGGACACCUCCUAAGCCCCCCCAGAGGCUCAGGGGGACUCCCCUCCUGGUCGGAUCAGUCCUCUCCCUCAGUCAGGUCAGGCUUCUCCUCCACGGCCAUCUGUCCAUUUCGUCCGGUUACUUGCUGCCAGGUCGCAGUUGCUGCAGCUACUCCAGUCCAAUUCGGCCGACGCUAGAUCAACUGAGAUGCAAAACCCAUGUUCACAUCAUGAGUGAGUCUUCUAACUCGGACAAUGCAAUCAACAAAUUCUAAGACCAAAUUCCGGUGGCACUGGCUCCAAAGGUGCUGCUGUGUGCCAUCCCAGGGAGAGGCCCCAACUCCAGACAUGGAUUUGCCUUUGCUACCCAUGACAUACCUAUACCAUCAUCAUUGGUGAAAUUAGCAAAUGUCUUCUUCAUGGCAAUGUAAUUCACAAAAUUUCACCUCUAAUAAGGCAUCCUUAUUACACCAAAGGAAGUGCAGCAAGAGGCUUCUGCCCAUGGGACCCACUGAUCUUAUUCCGUGUAUCUCAACACCGAGAAGCAGAUGUUUGAUAAAAAUGGGAUGGACUCUUUUAUUAUUACCAUGAGUAAACUCCUCAAGAUACUGUUGCUUGCCUUUGGGGGUGAGUUGGUCCUAGUGUCAAGGGAGAAAUAAUUAUGAAGAAGUGGAAUCUGAGCAAUAUAACCUUGAUGAUAAGAGAAACUCUAGAUGUUGUGGACUAGAAGGAUUACCAAGCCUAGAUAAAAGGACUGCCAAGCCAAGCCAUUACCACCCAACAGGGGCCAGGAGGACUAGGUCUGAACUCAGGAGAGUCACUGGGUGACUUGUAACUCCCUUACCCAAUAGCUCAGGUCAAUGGAAAACUGCAACAACGCAAUACAAAUGGGAACACCAAAAAUGUGGAUAAUCCGUUAAUGAAAGUUUGAAAUAACCCCUAGGAUAAGAACCCAAUCCAGCUAAGCUGCUGUAAAAGCACAAAGGGAAAAUGAAAAGAAUCCUGGAAACUGGCCAUUGUAAUGAUCAACUCGGGCAUCAUGACCAACUACGGAAUCAGGGAUGUAUGUUGCUCUGCUGUAUGCUAGUUCAUCACUCAUUUUCUCCCUAGCUACCCCCCACUAUCCGGAGAAGACUGUUGUGGCUAAUAUUUGAAGUUUUGGGUACUGACAGCACUCCAUACACAAGGCAGCUUAUGAGGCUUUCUUGUCUCCUGUGUUGAGAACACUUUUUUUUAAUUUGAACAAAAGAUGGACAAGAGAGAUUUUUAGGCGACAAUAGGAAUGAACUGUUCUGGACGCUUUCAAAAUACCAUCCAAAUCCAUCCUCUGGCUUUCUUUAAUCUGCUUUGUACCCAAAGAGGCUGAAGUUGAUGGACUUCCUCAUGGCUCACUUGCCAGCCAUCUUCUUGUUGAUUUAGAUUCAUGGGAAUUGUCGGCAGGAGAUUGGCUUGGGGGAGAGGGUGAAAUCAAGUAACUAUUCUCUGGAUUCUUCCAUGAUGGGUUGCCAAAGGUUAAAUAAGUUUCCCUUCCAAUGUCAUACCUCUUUCCCACCACAACAGCUACUAUCUCUGAGUUCUGGUCAACUUUCCUCCCCUUUAGCCCUUCAGUCCUAAAAGUGGUAAUGACUCCCAACCAUUGGUAGGUUAGGAGUGCUUCAACUAUCCCUUCUUGGUUUCCUGUAACCCUGUUGACACAUUUGUAAGUAGCCCCUUCAUUAAACUUUCCUUAAUUACCCCCA